UUUUCCGGUUGAUCCUGCCGGACCCUAUUGCUAUCGGGGUGAGACUAAGCCAUGCUAGUUGUGCGCUCUCUAGCUAUGUUGGGAGCGCAGCGGACGGCUCAGUAACACGUAGUUAAUCUGCCCUUAGGACGAACAUAAUCCCGGGAAACUGGGGAUAAUAUUCGAUAGAUGAAAACGCCUGGAAUGGUCUUUCAUCUAAAAGUUCUUAAGGACAUGCUCUUAAGAAUGCCUAAGGAUGAGACUGCGGCCGAUCAGGCUGUUGGUGGGGUAACGGCCCACCAAACCUAUAACCGGUACGGGCCCUGAGAGGGGGAGCCCGGAGAUGGGAACUGAGACAAGGUCCCAGGCCCUACGGGGCGCAGCAGGCGCGAAACCUUCACAAUGCGCGAAAGCGUGAUGAGGUUACCCCGAGUGCCGUCCGAUGAGGAGGGCUUUUCUUCAGUGUAAAUAGCUGGAUGAAUAAAGGGGGGGCAAGACUGGUGUCAGCCGCCGCGGUAAUACCAGCCCCCUGAGUGAUAGGGACGAUUAUUUAGCCUAAAGCGUUCGUAGCCGGCUUGGAAAGUCUUUCGUUAAAUUUGACGACUUAAUCGUCAGUCCGCGGAAGAUACUGCCAGGCUUGAGGGCGGGAGAGGUUGACGGUAGUCCCGGGGUAGGGGUGAAAUCCUAUAAUCCUGGGAGGACCACCAGUGGCGAAGGCGGUCAACUAGAACGCGCCUGACGGUGAGGGACGAAAGCUGGGGGAGCGAACCGGAUUAGACACCCGGGUAGUCCCAGCUGUAAACGAUGCGGGCUAGGUGUUGGGGCAGCUACGAGCUGCCUCAGUGCCGCAGAGAAGUCGUUAAGCCCGCCGCUUGGGAAGUACGGUCGCAAGGCUGAAACUUAAAGGAAUUGGCGGGGGAGCACCACAAGGGGUGAAGCCUGCGGUUCAAUUGGAGUCAACGCCGGGAAUCACUAGU
rnacentral:rRNA from 1 species